AGCCGGUUAGCUCAGUUGGUUAGAGCUCAGUACUAAUAACACUGAGGUCGUGGGUUCGAUUCCCAUAUCGGCCA
rnacentral:tRNA from 1 species